CGCCCAUAGUGCAGUGGUAAGCGCUUGGACCACGGAUCAAAGGGUCACGGGAUCGAAUCCUGUGGGAGA